rnacentral:tRNA from 1 species
AGGAUUGUAGUUAAUUAUAACAUUUGAUUUGCAUUCAAAAAGUACCCAUGAGGUUAAUCUUA